CAGUCGCCGCGGGAAUACGGAGGGUGCAAGCGUUAAUCGGAAUUACUGGGCGUAAAGCGCACGCAGGCGGUCUGACAAGUCAGAUGUGAAAUCCCCGGGCUUAACCUGGGAACUGCAUUUGAAACUGUCAGGCUGGAGUCUUGUAGAGGGGGGUAGAAUUCCAGGUGUAGCGGUGAAAUGCGUAGAGAUCUGGAGGAAUACCGAUGGCGAAGGCAGCCAUCUGGCCUAACACUGACGCUGAGGUACGAAAGCAUGGGGAGCAAACAGGAUUAGAUACCCCAGUAGUCCCUGUCUCUUAUAC
rnacentral:rRNA from 1 species